UACAGAGGGUGCGAGCGUUAAUCGGAAUUACUGGGCGUAAAGCGUGCGUAGACGGUUAUUUAAGUCGGGUGUGAAAGCCCCGGGCUCAACCUGGGAAUUGCAUUCGAGACUGAAUAGCUAGGGUACGGUAGAGGGAAGUGGAAUUUCCGGUGUAGCGGUGAAAUGCGUAGAUAUCAGGAGGAACACCUGCGGUGUAGACGGCUUUCUGGACCAUUGUUGACGCUGAGACACGAAAGCGUGGGUAGCAAACAGG
rnacentral:rRNA from 1 species